rnacentral:rRNA from 1 species
UACGUAGGGACCAAGCGUUGUUCGGAUUUACUGGGCGUAAAGGGCGCGUAGGCGGCAAUUCAAGUCAUCUGUGAAAUCUCCGGGCUUAACCCGGAACGGUCAGAUGAUACUGCUUUGCUAGAGUGCGGAAGGGGCAAUCGGAAUUCUUGGUGUAGCGGUGAAAUGCGCAGAUAUCAGGAGGAACACCAAUAGCGAAGGCAGCUCGCUGGGACGUUACUGACACUGAGGCGCGAAAGCGUGGGGAGCGAACAGG